rnacentral:piRNA from 1 species
UAAUACGGUACGAAAAUCUAAUUUACGC